CCUACGGGAGGCAGCAGUGGGGAAUAUUGGACAAUGGGCGCAAGCCUGAUCCAGCCAUGCCGCGUGUGUGAAGAAGGCCUUAGGGUUGUAAAGCACUUUCAGUGGGGAGGAAGGCCUUAAGGUUAAUAGCCUUGAGGAUUGACGUUACCUACAGAAGAAGCACCGGCUAACUCCGUGCCAGCAGCCGCGGUAAUACGGAGGGUGCGAGCGUUAAUCGGAAUUACUGGGCGUAAAGCGCGCGUAGGCGGUUAGUUAAGCUGGAUGUGAAAGCCCUGGGCUCAACCUGGGAACUGCAUUCAGAACUGGCUGGCUAGAGUACGAGAGAGGGUAGUGGAAUUUCCUGUGUAGCGGUGAAAUGCGUAGAUAUAGGAAGGAACAUCAGUGGCGAAGGCGACUGCCUGGCUCGAUACUGACGCUGAGGUGCGAAAGCGUGGGGAGCAAACAGGAU
rnacentral:rRNA from 1 species